CUGACUCCUGCACCCUAUACGUUACAAAUACCUGAUCCCUGCACUCUAUACAUUACAUAAUCUGACCCCUGCCCUCUAUACAUUGCACAAUCUGACCCCUGCAUUCCAUACAUUGUACAAUCCUGAC